rnacentral:rRNA from 1 species
AACUUACCAGGUCAAGACAUGGGCGUGAUUGACAGGCUAAUGACUUUUCUCGAUUCCAUGGAUGGUGGUGCACGGUCGCACUUAGUUGGUGCAGUGAUUUGUCAGGUUUAUUCCGGUAACGAACGAGACCUCGGCCUUGUAAAUAGCUAUGCUGCUUACAGGGACAUUGGCGGCUACGCCAAGGAAGCUCGAGGCAAUUGCAGAUCUGGAAUGCCCUUAGAUGUCCUGGGUCGCACGCGUGCUACAAUGACGCCACGAACGAGCUUGCGUGAUGAAAGUUACGCAUAAUCAGCAGUCGGCGUCUUAAGGGAUAGUCUCUUGUAACUGUGGGACUCCAACUAGGAAUGUCUCGUAAGCACAAGUCAACAUCUUGUGUUGAUUACGUCCCUGCUCUUUGUACACACCGCCCGUCGCUCCUACCGAUCGAGUGUUUAGGUGAAUUUGAUGGACGUAAGGAAGUCAAAUAAACCGAGCACUAGAGAAGAGAGUAGAGCAUGUCC